rnacentral:rRNA from 1 species
AUGUCGUCGGCGUCCCUCGCCGCCAGGCUCCUCCGCCGCGCCGCCUCUUCGUCGCGGGCCUCCACCCUAUCCCGACGCUGCGCCCACUCCUCCGCGACGUCCCGCGCGCCCGUUUCGCUUGCCCGUUUCCACCCCGCCGCCGCCUCCCCUUCAGGGACCACUGCCCGCCGCUUCCUGUCGUCGCAGUCCCCGGCGUCUUCCUCCAAGAUCUCCCCGGACGAGAACCUGAGGCGGGUCAUCGACUCCGAGAUCGAGUGCGUCGUCGAAUCGGAGGAGGGCUCCGCGCAGCAAAUUGAUCCACCAGAAGACUUCCCCUUUGAGAUAAUUGAUAACCCUGGUGAUCAGUCCAUCGUUCUCAAAAGAGAGCUUGCAGGAGAGACUAUUAAAGCUACUGUCUACACAAAUUUUGAUACUGAGGAAGAUUUGAACAAUGAGGACUCUGGUGCUGAGAAUGAUGAUGACUCAUUUAAGCCAGCACUUCAGAUGGUUGUCACUGUUGAGAAACCAGGAGGCUCAAUCCUGGAAUUUGAGUGCAACUUUAAUGAUGAUGAACUGGCAAUUGAAAAUAUGAGGUUGCUGAAUCGCGAUGCCAAGUUUACUGAGAAUGCAUAUGAGGGGCCACAAUUCUCUGAUCUGGACGAGAGCUUGCAGAAGUCCUUUCACAGGUAUCUUGAGGUGAGGGGGAUCAAGCACUCGCUGCAUGACUGGCUGCACGAGUACAUGAUGAGCAAGGAUGAGAAGGAGUACGUGGUUUGGUUGAAGAACAUGAGAGAGUUCAUCGAGAAAUGA